CAUAUACAUAUUAUAAAACAUUAUCGGAGAAAGUUCAACAAAUCGAUCUAUUCACUCGCUUAAGAUUGAUUAUUAAGAAGAAAAGGAGAUAGAAAAAAGUAAUGAAAAACGGAGAAAAAAUUCUUAAUUGAUUUUUAUUUUUAAUCAAAAGACAUGAGAAUUGUAGAAGGAGUAAACGAUCAAUUCAAUUAACAUAUGUUAAAUCACUUCGAAUGAGGAAAAAUAUUAAAGGCCAACAGGCUUAGCAACGUGACGAGAACCUGUUACGUGAAAAGAAUCUGUUAGUCGUCAAAGCGAUCUUCGUCUGGCAACUCCUCGCGAAUUAUUUUUGUUCACUUUAAUCAAUUCAAAGAAUUUCCACAAGUUUCUUUCUUCGGGAUCAACGUUCCGUGAUCGUGAACAGUGAAGAUGUCUCCAAGGAUGUUUGUUAUCAAAUAUGAUCGAGCUGAUGUGACUUACUUGUCAGGAGAAUAUAUAACCGGUUAUGUGAUCAUCGAAUCGAAUGGGAAAAAAAAACAUAUUCGAGAUUUAACAGUACAUUUCAAAGGAAAAGCUUAUGCUUAUUGGGCGACAAUGGAAACAGGACAGGAUAUAAAACGGAAGUGAUAAUAAGCAUACGUUAAUUUUAAUAAAUGUAAACUUGUUCCAAUGAAAAAAAAUAAGAUUUAAAUUUAUUAAAAAUUCUCGUUUGAAAUAUAAAGAACGACGAGAUGAUACUUUUCGAUUAUCAAAAAACAUAUCGUAUAGUUUUCAAUACAAAAUUGGAUAUAUUCAUCAUAUGACAAAAGCAAUGAUCGAUAUACCAUGGAAAUUGAAUUGAAAUACAAAAUCUAUAUUCAUUGUUGUCACACCGUUCGAUUUGGAUACUUUUUUGCAUAUAAUGUGUUAAUUAUUUUUUUCUUUUUUCUAAUUAAGAAAAAAAAAAAUAUAAAAAUGGAAUAUAAAAUUUUCGUUUCAGGUUGGAAUAGACGGAGACAUCAAAAAAUUUUUCGUUUCAUUACUUCGACGAAAGGAUCGAUAAAUGUCCGAAUAAAAAUAUCAAAUUCAUAAUACGUUCUAAGGCAAACUAUUAUAUAAAGACCAAAGUAUUCAUAGUUGUAAAAUCAUCGAACGUUAAUGUAAUGAAAAUUUAUACGAAACUAGAAGAAGUGGAAGGUCUCACAGUAAAACAAAAAAUCAUGAUAGAAAAAAACCAAGUCGAAUUACCAAUUAGAACAUCAAUCGAACAAAACUAAAACUUCAUGUUCCAUUUCAUCAUGUUCCAUCAAUCUAAUUUCUAACAUUAUGAUAUUAUUGAAUUAGUAUACGGUUUAUAUAUAAAUAUUCAUGUCAGUGGCAUGUGAGUUUAAAAUAAUUUUCGUUUCUUUUUUCAUUUUUUAACACAGGAUACAUUAAAAUAGAAAUAAAUUAACAAUACAGAAAUAAUAGACUAAAUGAGCACCACUAAUCAUAUAAACACGCAAUAUGUUAAAUAUAGAUAAUUACACGAUGUAUUGUAAAAAUGUUUGUUUGAUGAAUGAUAACAUUUACGAACAGCUACAAAAAACUUUUAAAAGUCAAGAUAUGCGCAUUCAAUCAGUAGCCUUUUGCGAAGAGCUUAUAUUAAGCAUAUCAGAUUUUGAAACUAAAAUUUUGUUUCUAACGUGUUCUUUUUACUAAACUUAUAUAUAUACACACAUCUAUAACUGUGAUUUAAUUAAUUCAUACGCCGAUCAACUUACCACAGUUUUAGAAGUGGUAUCAGCAAAGGAUUCAUUAAAGGAUAUUAACAGAAGAAUAAGCUUUGAAGGAUAUAUUUGAAUAUUGAUAUAUCGAACGUGCAUCAAGGCUAGGACAACGUGUUCACUGAAUAUUCAAAAAAUCGUUACAUGUGCGUGGUCUCUGAAAUAUUUAAUGAUAUACAUUUGUUUUGAAUUAAUUAAGCAAAAUGGAAAAUUUAUCUCAAGUACCCGAAUUAAGCAACAUUGAGAAACUGUAUAUAGGCAUAAUUCGUUUAGUUCGUCGUAUAUAUAAUGAAGACAAUGAUUUUAAUGAAAAAGUUAAAUAAGCGAUCGAAAAUUUAAUAUUAAUCGAUUUGUUAGGGAUAUACAACCCAAUACGUAUAAAUUGCACAGAAAUUCGAGAAUAUGUAGCACUGCAAAUUUGUUAGCAAUUAAUAAAUUAGAAUAAAAUUAAGAACAAACGCACAAUGCAAAAGGAAAUAUUAGAAGCAGUACAGAUAACCGAUUUACGAAACCAUACGCUAUACAACAUAAACAACGACGAGUUAGAAUCUUCAGGAAAAAUUCUCUUAUUAAAAGACAUAAUUCUACCUUUCAAUGGUUGCGGCAAUUGUACUGUUGAAACGUGACUGGAACAGUUCGAACGUAACCCAAGAUUAUUUAAUUUAUCGAACAUAGGUAAGCUUAUAUUCGCGAAGGAAUCAUUGACAGGAUUGGCCGCCACUUAGUUUGUCCAAAAAAAAUAAAAGACAAGACAUAUUUACCUGAGAAAAAUGGAAAUCGUUAUUAUUGAAAAAGUUCUCGGCUAAACCUGAUAAUGUAAAUCUGCAAGAUGAAUUACAACAAAGGAAGUAAUUCCUAAAAUUCUGUAAAAUUAAGGAAGGUGAAACGGUGAAGGACUAUUAUUUGAUUAUGAAGGAAAUUGGUUUAUAAGGGGAGAGGAAAUCAAAGAUAAGGACUUGAUCAAAUGCAUAAUUAAUGGCAUCAAGGAUGAUUCAAGUUGAAAAUUGUAAUUAUAUAAAAGUGGCGAUCUUAAUUAGCUUAAAGUAAAACUCAAAAUUUACAAUUUGGUGAAGAAAAAGAAGACAGAUUCUAUGAUCGAUCAUUUACCAAUAGGUAAGUCAGAUAUAACUGUUUUGCGAUGUUUUAAUUCUAACUAUAAGAAUCACACAGUUGUUACUACUUGCUCUAAAGCCAAUUAAUAAAAGAGAUUCCUGGUAAAUGUGCUUAACGACAGAUCACUAGAAAUAGAAUUGUCCUUGUCUCAAAUAAGACUCUAUUAGAACAAAACUUGAUCAUAAUAUCCAGUAAUACUAUUGAAACUAUACCGAUAAAAUUAUACUGUUUAGAUAUAAACGAUUUUAUAGCGAUAUUGGAUCCUCAUUUAAAUAAAAAUCAAACAAAUCGUAAAGAAUACGUAAGCAUCGACGAAGGCGUAGUUAAUACAUGAUCUUUUAUGAAACGCGUUAUAUCAAGCCUUAGAAUCUUAAGUUAUAUCUUUUUUCUUGUGUGCUUGUUUUUACUGAUAUAUAUGAACAUGAAAAAACGAGAGAGAGAGAGAGAGAGAGAGAGAGAGAGAGAGAGAGAGAGAGAGAGAAAGGAGGAAGGGAGAGAGAGGAAGGAGGGAGAGAGAGAGAGAUAGGGAGAAAGAGAGAAAGAGAGAGGGGGAAAGAGAGAGAGAGAGAGAAAAUGAUAAAGUAUAUAGAUGUAUAAGAAAGUUCCGUGUAUGCAUAAAUAUGUCCGUGCGAGAUAAUGGACACUAAAGUAAAUAUAAAGUUGCGAGCGUAUUUGAGAUGAGUGUAUGGAACGAAUUCGAAAAAAAAAAAAAGAAAAAAAAUAAAUAAAUAAAAUGAUUGAAACCUAUAGAAAAGCUGGAAGAAAAAAAAAGUAUAUAAUAAAUAUGUAAUAAAGUACAUAGUUGCAAACAAGAUAUGAAAAUGAUGGAUAUGGAUGGUUUUGGUGGAAAUGGACGUGGAUGGUUUUAAAAAAAAAUAUUCGAAGAUGAAUAUGUGUUGGGAUUGUUUCUUAAAAAUAAAACGAUCCGACUAAUCCUUAAGUAAUAUCAAAGCUCUUGAAUAUGUAACUAAUAUUAUUAUAUAGUCACUAAUAGUAUCAAGAAUUAUAUUAUUGCUCCUAAUAUCAAUAAAAAUUAUCUUACACACACACACAUAUAUAUAUAUAUAUAUAUAUAUAUAUAUAUAUAUAUAUAUAUAUACGCAUAAAUCUAUAACUAAAAUCUAACAUUUAAUUAAUUUACACGUCCAUUACCACCACCUUACUACAAUUAAAAUCCUAUACAUGUUCUUACAAUGACCAAUUAUCUUUGUAUUAUACUUAAUAACUAUAAGAUUGAUAGAAAAUAUUCAAUAUUAAUUAGAACAUUACCACUUCUUUUUCCUUCACCAUGAACACAACGGCCUCAAGCAGAUAAAAUUCAACCAAUAGCAUUAAUAAUUUAUUAAGAACCAUUUGGUGUCCAUUGUCAUAGAACUUAUGCCUAUAACAAUACCUAUAUUUGCUGAACCAGCAAGGAAAGUAAGUGAUUUAUCAAAAAUAUCUACACCUAAUUUCAACGAAUCCCAAUUAACAAAAAAUCAAUCAAUAGGAUGGAAUAUGCAUAAGUCGAAAGAACCUGCAGUUCACAAAGUAAAUUUUCUUUAUGGUUUUUAAAAUUAAACAAUUCAUCCUAUUUUUUUUCCGUAGAAUCUUCUUUUUAUGAAGAAUGUAUGCAUAAGACUGAUAAUAUCGAGUACGAUGAUGAUUCGAAUUCUGUUUAUGGUGCAGAUCAGCCUUUUUCUCCAAGAUAUCCAGUUUUUUCAUUUGAUAAAUUCUCGUUAGUCUAUACACACACACACAUUUCAAGUACGUUUCUAUUUUUUAUUUUCUCGUUUUUUAGAGUCCGAUUAAUUCAUAUUAUCGUUAUCUUUUCAGAUCCACCUAAGUAAACAAUUUUAGAUUAGAUUCUUUAAUUUGUAUUGGAUAUACUAAAUCUUUAAAUUAUAUGCCAUACACACCAAACAUAUAUAAAAUAUCGUAAAUAAAAUUAUGAUAAAAGUAAGAACGUCAAAGCAACGACGCGUGUGCGAAAGUACAGAAUCUAUCUUGUAUAAUCUAUUCUCAGCACUUGGAUCAUGAUUAUUGUCUGUACAAUUAUUGUUAAGUUACACAUUAAUGUUUCUACAUUUAUAAUUGCUUAUAAUGACUAAUUAUGUAUAUGUAUAUACACAUACGUGUCCUCACAAUAAUAACUUACAUGCGUACAAACGGA